UACGAAGGGUGGCAAGCGUUACUCGGAAUUACUGGGCGUAAAGCGUGCGUAGGUGGUGAGUUAAGUCUGAUGUGAAAUCCCCGGGCUCAACCUGGAACUGCAUUUGUGACUGCAUGGCUGGAGUGCGGCAGAGGGGAUGGAAUUCCGCGUGUAGCAGUGAAAUGCGUAGAGUAUGCGGAGGAACACCGAUGGCGAAGGCAAUCCCUGGGCCUGCACUGACGCUCAUGCACGAAAGGCGUGGG
rnacentral:rRNA from 1 species